AGCCGCUGUGUCCAGGUGCACUGACUUCCACUGUCGAGAGACAUGCGCAGUGAACGUUCGGUCAGCGCGCUUUUUUUAGUGUCUACUUACGCUAGGCUUUGCCCACCACUUGAGCACGCGCCCACGUGCCGCUGGCUAAAGUUCAUGAAGCAUUUAGAACUCUGCCCGACAUUCCGGAAGCCUCUCGUGCCCUCCGAGUGCUCUUCUGUUCCACCUCUGUCAAGGUCACGGAGGUCAUGCUGCUAGGACGAAUGAGGAUGCUGUGGAUGAAGUGACAGAGUACGGAAAAACUCUCUCAGCUGCGCAGACGACAAAUUUUGCCUUUGUGUAUCGACUUCAGCUCGGCCGUGUCCGCUGAGCAGCUAAGCCUGAAGUGGAGAGGAGGAAGUAAAAAUUUAAAAAAUAAAAUUCCCGAACAGACCGGCAAACCAAACUAACGUGAAACGGAGCGCGAGCGUAGGAACGACAAAAACAGCUUGUCCUGUGGAAAGCGCGAAAGACCUAACUGCUGUUCCUUCGGUCGCGCCAGCCGCACCGAUCUGAAUGAAGAGGUUAAAUGGAUACGCUGCUCCACAUGGCUCGGCUGUUUCAGAGGACUCUGCUGCGGCACGGAGCACAGAGACAUGCCAAAGCAGAUGGUGGUUGCGCUAGUAGGAAAGGUUUGGAAAAAAAAAAAAAAAAACAGCAUCUGCUGUUUUAUUUUCAGACAAGUUGGAUGCUAUGAGAAAGCACAGCACUGGAGUACAGUGCAGAGACAGGGUGUGCAGAGAACUACAAAAGUAAUAACUGCAUCUGUUCAACCUACAAAUUAUCAAUCCUAUUAUCUGUGUUCGUGUUCUGAAAAUGGGGGCGUAUUUGUUUGUCUUGUCUCACCGUGAUGUAAGAAAUAUACCUUU